CUACGGGUGGCUCCAGUGAGGAAUAUUGCACAAUGGGGGGAACCCUGAUGCAGCAACGCCGCGUGGAGGAUGACGUAUUUCGGUGUGUAAACUCCUUUUAUAUGUCAAGAAAAUGACGGUAGCAUAUGAAUAAGCACCGGCUAACUCCGUGCCAGCAGCCGCGGUAAUACGGAGGGUGCAAGUGUUACUCGGAAUCACUGGGCGUAAAGGACGCGUAGGCGGGUUGGAAAGUCAGGUGUGAAAUCCUACAGCUUAACUGUAGAACUGCACUUGAAACUUCUAAUCUAGAGUAUGGGAGGGGGAGAUGGAAUUAGUGGUGUAGGGGUAAAAUCCGUAGAUAUCACUAGGAAUACCUAAAGCGAAGGCGAUCUCCUGGAACAUUACUGACGCUAAGGCGUGAAAGCGUGGGGAGCAAACAGGAUUAGAUACCCCCGUAGUC
rnacentral:rRNA from 1 species